rnacentral:rRNA from 1 species
UACAGAGGUCUCAAGCGUUGUUCGGAUUCAUUGGGCGUAAAGGGUGCGUAGGUGGUACCGUAAGUCGGAUGUGAAAUCCCGGAGCUCAACUCCGGAACUGCAUUCGAUACUGCGGUGCUUGAGGACUGGAGAGGAGAUCGGAAUUCACGGUGUAGCAGUGAAAUGCGUAGAUAUCGUGAGGAAGACCAGUGGCGAAGGCGGAUCUCUGGACAGUUCCUGACACUGAGGCACGAAGGCCAGGGGAGCAAACGGG